UACGUAGGCAGCAAGCGUUGUUCGGAGUUACUGGGCGUAAAGAGUGCGUAGGUGGUGCCCUAAGUCUGUUGUGAAAUCUCCCGGCUUAACUGGGAGGGUGCGGUGGAAACUGGGGUGCUUGAGUGUGGGAGAGGUAAGCGGAAUUCCUGGUGUAGCGGUGAAAUGCGUAGAUAUCAGGAGGAACACCGGUGGUGUAGACGGCUUACUGGACCACGACUGACACUGAGGCACGAAAGCGUGGUAGCAAACAGG
rnacentral:rRNA from 1 species